rnacentral:rRNA from 1 species
UACGUAGGGGGCGAGCGUUGUCCGGAUUUAUUGGGCGUAAAGAGCGCGUAGGCGGCUUGUCAAGUCGGGUGUGAAAACCUGGGGCUUAACCCGAGGACUGCACUCGAAACUGGCAGGCUUGAGUUUGGUAGAGGGAUGUGGAAUUCCUAGUGUAGCGGUGAAAUGCGCAGAUAUUAGGAAGAACACCAGUGGCGAAGGCGGCAUCCUGGGCCAUAACUGACGCUGAGGCGCGAAAGCUAGGGGAGCGAACAGG